AGAAAUUCUACUGUGGAAUUGAGGAAACAACCUUCCUCCGCCGCGCCUAUUCGUGCUGAUUUCUGAUCCCGGCGGCGUCAAGUCUAUCGGAUUGCUUUGUUUUCGGAGAGAAGACGCCGAAGCUUUUCUCGCGCAGGUUAAUAUGUUGAAAGUUGAAGGAAUAGCAUUCCGGUUUUUACCUGAUCAGUGCCGGAGUUAUUCAUAUGCUCUCGGAUGAUAGAUAAUGCCGUACUCAUCAGAUUUAUUAUCACAUCCUAUGAAGUUCAGAUAAGAGCAUCAGAUAUCAAGAGUGGAUUUGAUGGAGUUCCUGUUUUUCAGGUAAGUAAGAAGAACUCGGGCUGGGAAGACUUAAUAUUCAUCCCACCUGGUAAAAGCCAUUCUCAACACAUUCAAGAGGCUGUGAAAGUAUAAAGAUUGAUUGCAGGACUUCCAUUUGACUACACAGCAAGUAGGUGAGUGAAUGCGUGCUUGCAUUUCUGUCGAUGUGUGCUUAAUUUUAUCUUGGCCCGUCUACCUUUGCAAGCUCAUGACCAUACGCGUUCUGACUUUCCGUCCUGUCUACUGACUUUCGAGCUAAGAACUUAGUUCCCGCUUUGUAAGGUUACAUAUUUCCUACAUCCAAAUAAUACUAUAAUCUUAUAAUUCA